AGUUGACACUCAAGCUCACCUUGCAAGAUAGUGGCAGAGCUGAUAAGGUGCAGCAAAGAAAUGGGAAUAUAGAAAAUGGUGGUAAAAACAGCAGUAGCAGCAGAAGCAAGGAGAGAAUCCAGAUGUAGCCAGAGGAGACAGAGAAACUAACCAGAAUCAGUGUGAUAGGUUCUCCUUCCUCUACCUUUAGUUUGCCGCUUCUAAUCUAAUGGACUUGGGAGAAGCCACUUACGAGAAUGGUAUAUAAGCCAAGAGCAAAUGAACUGACGUCUGAGGGGCUGGCUAUCCAAACAACAAAAGAUGGAGCAUCAGAUCAUUCAUUGAAGAGUUUCU
rnacentral:lncRNA from 10 species